CGGGUAACCUACCCAUCAGGAGGGGGUAACACUUGGAAACAGGUGCUAAUACCGCAUAACAGUUUAUGCCGCAUGGCAUAAGAGUGAAAGGCGCUUUCGGGUGUCGCUGAUGGAUGGACCCGCGGUGCAUUAGCUAGUUGGUGAGGUAACGGCUCACCAAGGCCACGAUGCAUAGCCGACCUGAGAGGGUGAUCGGCCACACUGGGACUGAGACACGGCCCAG
rnacentral:rRNA from 1 species